GACGAACCGUGCGACCGUUAUUCGGAAUCACUGGGCGUAAAGGGUGCGUAGGCGGGUCUUUAAGUCAGGGGUGAAAUCCUGGAGCUCAACUCCAGAACUGCCUUUGAUACUGAAGAUCUUGAGUUCGGGAGAGGUGAGUGGAACUGCGAGUGUAGAGGUGAAAUUCGUAGAUAUUCGCAAGAACACCAGUGGCGAAGGCGGCUCACUGGCCCGAUACUGACGCUGAGGCACGAAAGCGUGGGGAGCAAACAGG
rnacentral:rRNA from 1 species